GAUGAACGCUGGCGGCGUGCCUAAUACAUGCAAGUCGAGCGAACGGACGAGAAGCUUGCUUCUCUGAUGUUAGCGGCGGACGGGUGAGUAACACGUGGAUAACCUACCUAUAAGACUGGGAUAACUUCGGGAAACCGGAGCUAAUACCGGAUAAUAUUUUGACCCGCAUGGUUCAAAAGUAAAAGACGGCCUUGCUGUCACUAAUAGAUGGUUCCGCGCUGCAUUAGCUAGUUGGUAAGGUAACGGCUUACCAAGGCAACGAUGCAUAGCCGACCUGAGAGGGGGAUCGGCCGCACUGGAACUGAGACACGGUCCAGACUCCUACGGGAGGCAGCAGUAGGGAAUCUUCCGCAAUGGGCGAAAGCCUGACGGAGCAACGCCGCGUGAGUGAUGAAGGUCUUCGGAUCGUAAAACUCUGUUAUUAGGGAAGAACAUAUGUGUAAGUAACUGUGCACAUCUUGACGGUACCUAAUCAGAAAGCCACGGCUAACUACGUG
rnacentral:rRNA from 1 species